rnacentral:lncRNA from 1 species
UAUAUAUCACUUCCAAGUUUCCUCUCCUUGACCUUUGAGGAUACUGGGUUUUGGUAGUUGCUUUUCCUAUAAGGGAAUUAUCAUGAGGAUGCAGUUAGCGUGCACUGUGUUGUGUGUUCUCCCUUUUUUCACUUGCACAUAUGAAUGCUUGUUGAUAUGUUGUGGAUAUAGAUUAUUCAUGGCAGACCAAUAUAUCCUUUUGUGUUGGACUGCCAACCUGGAAGAAGUUAUCAUGAUCCCUUCUACCCUCCUUCCAUCAGAUGAGCAAAUUUGAUUUUCUCUCUUCAGUUUUGUGGUGACCAAUCGUUUCAUAGUAUCGGAUAUUCUUUCAGAGCAGUUCAAUAUCUUACUGGUAAAUUUUGUUGCUUCUUUACUAUUUGGUCUGGCACUGAAAAAGCCAGAGAUGGUACAAUGAUGGCUUAACUAGCCAUUUCAAUUGUUGCAGGAUAUUUUUGCUGCCAUGAAGCUUUGAUGACACCACAUGCACAACCCCUUUUUGGUUCCCCCUCGGGUUGGCUUAGUGUGGAUUAAUCUUGUUAUCUCAUAUCUAGAUGAGCAUUUGCUAGGAACAGUGUGGUUUUUGAUUUUGUGUGCUUGGUGUGUUUAUGCAUCAGCAAUCAACAAGCAUGCCUAAGCUUGUAAGAGAAGUAGAAGCCAAAGAGAAAGAAGCAGAACAACGACUUGAGAUGCAAUCACUGAUGAAGUAAACCGCGACAAUGAUGAAUGAUGAGUAGAGAAUCGAACCUUUCCAUGAAAGGAGAAUUGUUCCAUAUGUAUGUUUCUCAUUUUCUUGUUUGCAACUGUAGGAUAUUUCAACAGAUUGUAAUGGUAGGUGGC